CGAUGAGGUAGAGGCGCAUUCUAGUAUGAGUAGUCAAUUGGAGGAUGACAACAACGACAAUUGAUGAAAGGACUGUUUGCCGAAGUGUAAUAAGAACGUCAUGCUUAUUAUGCUGGUAUGUUUCUGAAUAAGAAAUAUACUGUCAUGCGAACCGGAUAGAUGGAUUGCAUGAUGCGCUACUGAUCGA
rnacentral:ncRNA from 2 species